UACGGAGGGUGCAAGCGUUGUCCGGAAUCACUGGCGUAAAGGGCGCGUAGGCGGCUCAUGAAGGCUGUGGUGAAAGUCCGGGGCUCAACCUCGGAUCGGCCGUGGCGACUCGUGGGCUGGAGCACUGUAGAGGCGGGUGGAAUUCCGGGUGUAGCGGUGGAAUGCGUAGAGAUCCGGAAGAACACCAGUGGCGAAGGCGGACCCGCUGGGCAGUGGCGUGACGCUGAGGCGCGACAGCGUGGGGAGCAAACG
rnacentral:rRNA from 1 species